AAAUCCUCUUAACUUGAUCAUUUUUUUUUGUAAAAAAAAUUUUCUCAUCAAAAGUUAAUUGUUGUUUAUCAAUUUUUUUUUAAUUCCAAUGAUUUGUGAUAAUUGUCAACUUUUGAUAAUAAACUUCGUGUAGGUCUGGAAGUCUCUUUGUAAAUCCAAUUGGAUUCGUAAUAUUCAUUUUUAAUCCGAUGAUCAGAUGUUGAUUAAUUAACUAAUGAUGAGCCUCCAACAAUUAAAUUGCGACUCAAGGGCUUAAAUUACUUCCUAAUUUUUCUGUUUCGUUGAAAAUACAAGUCACAAAAAAGUGAAAUCAACUAACUGGUUUUACUAGUUAAUUCAAGUAUUUCGAGUUACUUAUCAAUGGUCAUCUCGAAAUUGAUUUUUAAUUAGGUGAAGAAAAAAAUGAUCAACACUUUCGUCAUAUUAAAUUAAAUAGUUGAGCUGUUGUUAUUUGAAUCAUUGGAAUUAAUUAAUCAAGCAAAAUGAUGAUCCCCAAGGAAUGAUAAUUGUUUGGAAAAAUGGUUCUAAUCAGAUUCGUGGAUGUGUAACUUUGGAAAACAAAUUGAAGUGGUAAUCACAAUUUAAUUUCUUUCGUGCGUCGAGAUGAUUUGAUUGAAUGAUUAAGCACAUUGGUCUCGGAUAAUCAGUGGAUCAAUCGAUUAAUCGACCUUACGAACACCAGGAUUAAUACCAUGACCAUAACCUGAAGGUCCCCAUUGCUUAGCAUAACAAGCUGAUUGGAAGAAAAGAAAAGAAAAUCAAAUUGAAUUAAAAUCAAUGGUGACAAUUGAAUAAACGAUCAAAUGAUUCAACUA